GAGCUGUUCAGUCCAUGUUUCGCUCUCUUAACGUGACAAUGUCUACUUACCGCUGCUCUCAGCUGUUGUUAUUAUGUGUUUUGCUCGGCAUUUGUGCUAUGAGCUAUGCGCAAGUCUCCAGUUGCGCUAGGAAUGGGGAUUAUUGUCAAACGCAUCGGCAAUGUUGCUCUGGCAGGUGCAUGACUUAUCUCUACAAGUGCGCUCCCAGGGUCCCACAGAUAUUGUACAA